rnacentral:rRNA from 1 species
CCUGUUGAUCCUGCAGGAGGUCGCUGCUAUCAGGGUUCGGUUAAGCCAUGCAAGUCAAGGGGUCGCAAGACACCGACAAACUGCACAGUAACACGUUGAUAAUCUGCCCUUAGGUCUAGAAUAACCUUGGAAACCUGAGGCUAAAUCUGGAUGAGAGACUCGUUCUGGAAAGAAGUGUCUCUAAAAGGUAACGCCUAAGGAUGAGUCAGCGGCCGAUUAGGUAGUUGGUGGGGUAAAGGCCCACCAAGCCUACGAUCGGUAGGGGCCUUGGAAGAGGUUGCCCCGAGAAGGGAACUGAGAUACUGUCCCUAGCCCUACGGGGUGCAGCAGGCGCGAGAACUCUACAAUGCACGAAAGUGUGAUAGGGGAACCCUGAGUGCUCAGCUUUGCUGGGCUUUUGCUAAGAGUAAAUAUCUUGGCGAAUAAGUGGUGGGUAAGACGGGUGCCAGCCGCCGCGGUAACACCCGCGCCACAAGUGGCGAUCGUUAUUAUUGGGCCUAAAGCGUCCGUAGCAGGCAUUGCAAAUCUUCUGUGAAAUUGUUGCGCUUAACGUAACAGCGGGCAGGAGACACUUCUAUGCUUGGGACCGGGAGGAGUCAGAGGUAUUUCUUGGGGAGCGGUAAAAUGCUAUAAUCCAAGAAGGACCACCGAUGGCGAAGGCAUCUGACUAGAACGGAUCCGACUGUGAGGGACGAAAGCCAGGGGAGCGAACCGGAUUAGAUACCCGAGUAGUCCUGGCUGUAAACGCUGCGAGCUAGGUGUUGCGCAAUCUUAGGGAUUGCGCAGUAUCGAAGCGAAGGCGAUAAGCUCGCCGCCUGGGAAGUACGGUCGCAAGGCUGAAACUUAAAGGAAUUGGCGGGGGAGCACUACAAGGGGUGCGGCGUGCGGUUUAAUCUAACUAUACACAGAGAAUCUCACCAGCAGCGACGGCAUAAUGAAAGUCAGAUUGAAGGUUUUACUUGACGAGCCGAGAGGUGGUGCAUGGCCGCCGUCAGCUCGUGCCGUAAGGUGUCCAGCUAAGUCUGGUAACGAGCGAGACCUGUGCCUACAAUUGCUAACGGGCGCUUUUGCGUGACCGAGCACAUUGUAGGGACUGCCCUGGAAACAGGGAGGAAGGUGCAGGCUACGGUAGGUCUGUAUGCCCCGAAUCUGCUGGGCUACACGCGCGCAACAAUGGUAACGACAAUGGGCUGCAACUCCGAAAGGAGAAGCUAAUCCUCGAAACGUUAUCCAAGUCCAGAUUGAGGGUUGUAACUCACCCUCAUGACGUUGGAAUCCCUAGUAAUCGGACGUUAUCAGCGUCCGGUGAAUACGUCCCUGCUCCUUGCACACACCGCCCGUCAAACCACUCGAGCAGGGUUUAGAUGAGGCAUGGUUUAACUGAUCAUGUCGAAUCUAAGCUCAGUGAGAAGGGUUAAGUCGUCACAAGGUA